UGAGGGAUAUUGGUCAAUGGGCGCAAGCCUGAACCAGCGACGCCGCGUGGGUGAAGAAGGUCUUCGGAUCGUAAAGCCCUUUUCCCACUGAAGAGGAAGGACGGUAGGUGGGGAAGAAGUCUCGGCUAACUACGUGCCAGCAGCCGCGGUAAAACGUAGGAGACAAGCGUUAUCCGGAGUUACUGGGCGUAAAGGGCGUGCAGGUGGCGUCUUAAGUCUGUUGUGAAAGCGCCUGGCUUAACCGGGCGAGGCCAAUGGAGACUGAGAGGCUGGAGGAAGGCGGAGGGGUGUGAAAUUCCGGGUGUGGUGGUGAAAUGCGUAGAGAUCCGGAGGAACACCAGAGGCGAAGGCGGCACUCUAAGCCGUACCUGACACUGAGACGCGACAGCACGGGGAGCAAACG
rnacentral:rRNA from 1 species